rnacentral:rRNA from 1 species
GUCCUUGCCGUAAACUAUGUAUACUUGGUGUAACUGGACUCAACCCUAGUUGUGCCGUAGCUAACGCGAUAAGUAUACCGCCUGGGGAGUACGCUCGCAAGGGUGAAACUCAAAAGAAUUGACGGGGACCCCGCACAAGCAGUGGAGCAUGUGGUUUAAUUCGAUGCAACGCGAAGAACCUUACCCAGGCUUGACAUGCAGAUGACCGCUCUAGAGAUAGAGCUUUCCUUCGGGACAUCUGCACAGGUGCUGCAUGGCUGUCGU